CAGUAGCCGCGGGAAAACGUAGGGUGCAAGCGUUAAUCGGAAUUACUGGGCGUAAAGCGUGCGCAGGCGGUCCGCUAAGACAGAUGUGAAAUCCCCGGGCUUAACCUGGGAACUGCAUUUGUGACCGGCGGGCUAGAGUAUGGCAGAGGGGGGUAGAAUUCCACGUGUAGCAGUGAAAUGCGUAGAGAUGUGGAGGAAUACCGAUGGCGAAGGCAGCCCCCUGGGCCAAUACUGACGCUCAUGCACGAAAGCGUGGGGAGCAAACAGGAUUAGAUACCCCUGUAGUCCCUGUCUCUUAUAC
rnacentral:rRNA from 1 species